AUUGAACGCUGGCGGCAGGCCUAACACAUGCAAGUCGAGCGUGCGGCGGACGGGUGAGUAAUGUAUGGGGACUGCCCGAUAGCGGGGGAUAACUACUGGAAACGGUAGCUAAUACCGCAUACUAUCGGAUAACCCAUAUGGGAGUAGCUAGUAGGUGAGGUAAUGGCUCACCUAGGCGACGAUCCCUAGCUGGUCUGAGAGGAUGAUCAGCCACACUGGGACUGAGAAACGGCCCAGACUCCUACGGAGGCAGCAGUGGGGAAUAUUGCACAAUGGGCGCAAGCCUGAUGCAGCCAUGCCGCGUGGAUGAAGAAGGCCCUAGGGUUGUAAAGUACUUUCAGUCGGGAGGCGUUACCUACAGAAGAAGCACCGGCUAACUCCGUGCCAGCAGCCGCGGUAAUAC
rnacentral:rRNA from 1 species